AUCCUUGGGAGGCAACAGUGUCAGUGAUAAAUGAGUUGCAGUUUCUCUGUUUCCCUUCCUUCUUUUUUUAAAAGUGCCAUGACGUUACACUGUGGAUUACUAUUACCAUGAAUAAUGAGGUCUCCCAGACACUCUUGUUUGCUGAUGAAAUUGUGCUUGUUGCUUCAAUACUUGGAUCACUGAAGAGCCUCUUGGAAGCGAUCUAUAUCCAAGGAAUUCUUUAAACUCAUCUCUUCUAUAAAAAGCCUAUCCACCACCAGCCCUGUAGGAGUAUACUCAGUUUUAUUGGGUAAGUUAUUUUUUUGUUUUGCCUUUUGUUAUUUCAUAUUCCAAUAUUUCCUUUUGUUUAUGGUAGUUGCUACUAAAACUUGUGAGAUUCUUGUUGGUCUUGGUCUCUUUCUUCCUCUAUGUUGGCAAUAUAUAUUUUUUAAUAUAGAAAUUCUUUAACAUUUAGGGCUCUGUCAUUCUGGAGGUGUUACAUUUGUAGUUUCUUUAUAUUUUCAAUUUAUGGUUUGAAUAAUCUUUUGUGAUAUCCUUAAAAACAGACUUCUUACUUAGUCUUGUUUUUAGGGAGUCCAAAGCACUGGAGUUGGGACUGGAAGUCUCAGCUUCAAGUAAAGUCAUAACCUGUUCACAAUACUUAAUAUUUUCCUAGACACACAUUGAGGUUGUCUCAAUCUCCUGCUCAGAUUAUCAAAUGUCUUCCCAGCCCUAUGUGGCAGUGGCAGGUGAGGACCAAAAUGAAAGCCUGUCACCACAUAAGUGGGGUUCUGAACAAAAAGUGAGAUCCUGAAAAAGGUUGGUCAUAGGGAGUCAAAGGACACUAAGGUAGCAUAAAUCAAAUUCACCAAACUAUCCUACUUAAUAUAUUUCUUCCAUUCCUUCACUGGCCCCUAUUGGGGAACAGACUCUAGGAGCAAUUAGAUGUGAUGUAGUUGCAUGAUUAAGGCACUCAACUUGGAGUCAAGACCUGGAUUAAAGUUCUACCUCUUAUAUUUAUUAGCUGUCUACUCUGGGUAAGUCAAUUAUCCUCUCUGUUGCUCAAUUUCCUCACCUGCAAAAUGAGUAGAGACAGACUUAAUGGUGUCUAAGCCUUUUUCUGGUUUUAAAUAAGAUGUAAUGUUAUGAAUUCAUUUUAUGUGGCCAGGUCGUCAGGAUUCCCCAUCCUAGCAACCAAAAAAGAGACAAACAAUCCCCAGCCAGAACCUCAAACUCAUUUACCUUCAUGAAGGUGAAUCUUCUGUGAGUUCCCCAAGUUGGUGGAAGGCUGCAGAUAGAAGUUCUGAGUUGCCCCCAUUAGCGUAGAUCACCAUUAACUAUUGUUCUAACAACUCAUUAGUUUUCUAUUUAAACUAUUGCUACUUCAGAAGUUCGUUGGUGAUGACCAUCUAGGUUCUGGCCCUUUUUUGAAAGAAAUCUCAUUCUGAGGGUUAGUAAUAGGAUAAGACCAAGGCUUUCUUACUGCUAGUGUUGUUUCCUAUUUUUCAUCCUCAUUCUGGCUGUCACUUCAUUUCUCUACAGCCCUAAUAUCAGUGAGAGAUAAUACAUUCUCCAGACAGACCUCUGUGUCAGAGGCCAUGUUUUCCACAUGGAAUCUAUUGAUCCUCAACCCCAACAGCAUUACACUUUUCACUUGAAUUGUUACUAAGUCCAUUAUCUGUCCCUCUACCUUCAAGGUACAGUACUUAAAUGCCUAAGUGUUUUCAUAUUGAUCUUUGUUGCACAUGGAAAAGACAAUUUAUUUUGUUUCCUUAUGAUUCAGCUUUUCUAAAAUUGUCUGUAAGAACCAAGUAAAGAAUACUAGAUUUUGUAAAGUGAUUUAAAAAAACCUUAUAGUGUUAUAUAAAUGCUACAUAUUCACUGUUGUUUUACCCUUGUCAAAUCCUUUAAAUGCUUAUUUAUCUAUCCCUACAGGAAUAGUGAUGGGGCCUUUCUGGUCUCUUGAGAUGGCUCCUUAUGUGAAGCUAAAAUAUAAAAGGCCAAAGAAUACCAUAGUUCUGUAUAUGAUCAUCUCAUGACCCAAGGAUCCUGCUUUUCACUGUUAACUUUCCCCCAAUUCAACUUUGAGAACAAGAAGAUUAUUGAGAUGCAAACCUGUUGGUCAAUGUGAAAUAUUCUGGCCCAGGCCUUGUGGCACAAUCCAAUAAUUCAGGUUUGAGAUUGGAACACAAUGAGAUAUUUGCAGACCAGAAAAUUAACUAAAAUGAACCUUAUUUACAACAAAAAGGAUUUACUUUGCUAAAAUCAGAUAGUCUCCCCACCAUCACUCCACUUCUGCAUUCACCAGGGCAGUAACAAUGAAUGAAACAGAUGUACCAAAGGGUAAUUUGAAGUCUGUGAACACAUAGUGCUUCCAUCUCCAUUUUAAGGUCUUGAGGCUUUUAUUCAUUUUUAAAACUCACUUUCGGGUUUCUAUUUUCUUCUUUUUUUCAAUAGCAUCUGGGGUGGGACAAUAGAGAUCAUAGAUGCUAAUCCCAUAGUAGUAAUUUUGUAUCCAACGUUCUUUUCACAAGACCAGAAUUAGAAUGUAAGUUCAUUAAUUUUUAGCCCAGUUCUCAUUCUAGGAUAUCAUGGAGCUGAUCCAUGCUCAGAAUCUCACAUCUUCCUGAUCCAAGUCCCCUGAAAAGAAGGACCGCUCCUUGCUCCUCAUGGUGAGACAACUUCUGGAAUACAUCAAGUUCAUAUAAUCAGGGAAUGUAAGAGCCUGGUAACAACUUCAGAAAUAAUUUAGUACAGUGCCCUUCUACAUUACUGAUCAGAAAGUUAUGGCUCCAAAAGGGGGAAUAAUUUGCCAAAGUCAUACAGCUAAUUAGUGGCAGGUCUCUAGACUCCUAGUUUUUGUCCAGAAGCAGGUAGGUGGUACAGUGGCUGUUGAACUUGGCAUCAGAAUACUUGAGUUCAAAUCUGUCCACAGAUAUCUACCUUAGAUACCAGCGUGACCCUGGACAAGUCCCUUAACCAGUGUCUGCUUCAGUUUCCUCUACUGUAAAUGGAAAC